ensembl:lncRNA
GGUGUGAUGUAUGGAGAGAGUUAGACUCUGUGAUGUGAUGUAUGGAGAGAGUUAGACUCUGUGAUGUAUGGAGAGAGUUAGGCUCUGUGAUGUAUGGAGAGAGUUAGACUCUGUGAUGUGAUGUAUGGAGAGAGUUAGACUCUGUGAUGUAUGGAGACAGUUAGACUCUGUGUUGUGUGGAGAUCUACUAGCCAGCGUAGUGUGAGGCUCUGUGAUGUAUGGAGAGAGUUAGGCUCUGUGAUGUAUGGAGAGAGUUAGACUCUGUGAUGUGAUGUAUGGAGAGAGUUAGGCUCUGUGAUGUGAUGUAUGGAGAGAGUUAGACUGUGAUGUAUAGAGAGAGUUA